AGCCCCAGGUGACGGGACGGUCUCAGGGCCCACCCAGAGGGCUUGGCUUUGGGUCUCCCAGCUUAGCACAGGGGUGAGUGUGUCCGUGGACACCGGGCACCGGGGGAGGCCAACAGGGCCAGGGCGUUCUUCCAUAUCUUCCUGGAGCCCUGGUUCGUUCCACACUCAUGCUUCUGGCCAGCGUCCGCCACCCCAGUCUGAUGGGGACUAGCCUGUGUGAUGAAGGUUCCAGCCGGGCAAGGGGAGUGUCAGGGUGCAGCUGAGCCAGGAGGCUGAACCUCCUGCUGGGGGAGGAGAGGAUUACGGGAAGAGAAGCCUGAGAGGCAGGGGUUGUGCUCCUGGGGGAGGGGAGAAGAGGUGGGGGAGGGGGAGGGAGGGGUGGGGACCAGGGCACCAGGAGCAGGGGAGGAGGGGAAGGGGGAGAGGGAAAGACACUGCCCAUCUGAAGUGCACUGGAACAAACGCACCAGCUUCUCAGCGCCAAGGCCUCCUGCUGGUGUCCACGGCUGAAUCUGUCACUCGACCUGCAUAGUGUUUAACAGAAACCUUAAUUAUUUGCAAAGAUUUUCAAUUCAGAGCCGUUCACGGAAAAUCCAGAUUUCCAGGUUUUCUCAGUAGCAAUGAUGGGCAUCGCCCUUCCCACAGGUCUGUGGGUCCCUGGCUGGCUGUCCACUCCGCACCCCCAGCACUGAUUUGUAGCCCCUGACUUAAGGUGAUAAUUUAAGGGGAUAGGUUUCCCCAGUUCAGCAUCUGGGUGAAUUAAAUGCCAGAAGGGACCCUUAGCAGGGACUUGUGAGGGGCUGAGGCUGGUCUGGGCCGGUGUUGAAGCUGCCCCAAGGCCUGUCUUUAGGAGGGGAGGAAAUGUUCCCAGGAGGGAGUGCAGCCUAGCCCUAGAGUCCACCCAGAUAGCCCAGCCUGGCUCUGCAGAGCAUCAGCACACACUGUCUCAAGUGCGGAUGCUUUUGGGAUGUGUUCUCAUCCCUGUGGUGACGUGGGCACCAGCCCCCACUGUCCAUCGCGAAGUUUUCCCUGAAUCACCAUCUCCAUCUCUGCUCUUCCAGGUCCUCUUAUCCUGGAGCCAUCUGUGUAUCUGUGACCAAGAUCCCAUCCCCAGGAGCUACACACAGAGAUGCUGUUUUGCAUAUUAAACCAUCUAAAGGAUCCAUCCCAUAAGCAAGCAAACUGAGAGCACCCAUCUGGUUUUCCUGUGCAACCUGGAGGCUGAGUUCCUGUCACCAACCUGGUCUGUUCAUUU
ensembl:lncRNA